rnacentral:ncRNA from 1 species
ACCAUUCUUUUGUUGGGUUUGUGCUACUGUCCAAUGAGCGCAUAGUGAGGGCAGUACUGCUAACACCUACCAAAAAAAAGAAAAGCAAAAAUAAACAUGAAAAA